rnacentral:rRNA from 1 species
AGCAGUAGCCGCGGGAAUACGGAGGGUGCAAGCGUUAAUCGGAAUUACUGGGCGUAAAGCGCACGCAGGCGGUCUGACAAGUCAGAUGUGAAAUCCCCGGGCUUAACCUGGGAACUGCAUUUGAAACUGGCAAGCUAGAGUCUCGUAGAGGGGGGUAGAAUUCCAGGUGUAGCGGUGAAAUGCGUAGAGAUCUGGAGGAAUACCGGUGGCGAAGGCGGCCCCCUGGACGAAGACUGACGCUCAGGUGCGAAAGCGUGGGGAGCAAACAGGAUUAGAUACCCGGGUAGUCCCUGUCUCUUAUAC